UUAAUUUAUUUUGCUUGUGCCACUCAGACAAACGCCAAUUGGGUAAUUCAGGGGUGUAGACCUCCGGCGGGUGCAGCCCGGGACGCCCGGGUCCGGAGACCGCGGGGCGACGGCCGAGCCUCCCGCCGAAGCAACAGAGGUAGUGUUCACAUGGGGUUUGGGAGUUUUAACACUCGAUAAUGAUCCCUCCGCUGGUUCACCAACGGAGA
rnacentral:misc_RNA from 1 species